rnacentral:rRNA from 1 species
CAGUAUCCGCGGGAAUACGUAGGUCCCGAGCGUUGUCCGGAUUUAUUGGGCGUAAAGCGAGCGCAGGCGGUUAGAUAAGUCUGAAGUUAAAGGCUGUGGCUUAACCAUAGUACGCUUUGGAAACUGUUUAACUUGAGUGCAAGAGGGGAGAGUGGAAUUCCAUGUGUAGCGGUGAAAUGCGUAGAUGUAUGGAGGAACACCGGUGGCGAAAGCGGCUCUCUGGCUUGUAACUGACGCUGAGGCUCGAAAGCGUGGGGAGCAAACAGGAUUAGAUACCCCCGUAGUCCCUGUCUCUUAUACA